AACCUUACCCACCCUUGACAUGCACCGGAACCUCCCAGAGAUGGGAGGGUGCCCUUCGGGGAACCGGUGCACAGGUGCUGCAUGGCGGUCGUCAGCUCGUGCCGUGAGGUGUCGGGUUAAGUCCCGUAACGAGCGCAACCCUUGCCCCUAGUUGCCAGCGGUUCGGCCGGGCACGCUAGGGGGACGGCCGGCGAUAAGCCGAAGGAAGGUGGGGAUGACGUCAAGUCAUCAGGGCCCUUCAGGGUGGGGCUACACACGCGCUACCGUGGCCGGCACAGAGGGUUGCGAAGCCGCGAGGCGGAGCCAAUCCCAGAAAGCCGGUCGUAGUCCGGAUGGCAGUCUGCAACUCGACUGCAUGAAGCCGGAGUCGCUAGUAAUCGCGGAUCAGCAACGCCGCGGUGAAUACGUUCCCGGGCC
rnacentral:rRNA from 1 species